GCGCUCGCUUCGGCAGCACAUAUACUAAAAUCGGAAUGAUACAGAGAAGAUUAACAUGGCCCCUGCACAAGGAUGACACGCAAAUUCAUGAAGCGUUCCAUAUUUUU
rnacentral:snRNA from 1 species